AAGAAGCCAAAAGAGCAGAAAUGAAGGGAACACAGAACAUGGUGUUGAAACGCGGCGGGAUGUCAUGCUUAAAGCUCCUCUGAGCGCGGAACCGGCUCGCUUUUGAGGGAUACCAUCUGUGCUUCAUCAUGUAAAUGCAGCUUUACAAGAUGUACAUGAGAUCAGAGAGCAAGCUGCAAAGUUCACCAUAAGCAAGAACUCCAUUACAGGUCCGGAUCUCCGAACGAGCGACCUCUGAGCAACGGGUCUCCAUGAGCCAGAAGUGCUCCACACACUCCACGUACCCAUUGGACACAUGCUGCGGAGGUCCCUGGGACUGAGAGGAGGUCCAACAUGAUGAACACAUGUCCUCCGAGCCCCAGAGAGAAGCAGAAGUGAGCCAUUGAGUGCCGAUGGAAUGACAGUAAAAAAUGGAGCCAUGGAAGCGACUCU